AUUGAACGCUGGCGGCAGGCCUAACACAUGCAAGUCGAGCGGAUGAAGGGAGCUUGCUCCUGGAUUCAGAGGCGGACGGGUGAGUAAUGCCUAGGAAUCUGCCUGGUAGUGGGGGAUAACGUCCGGAAACGGGCGCUAAUACCGCAUACGUCCUGAGGGAGAAAGUGGGGGAUCUUCGGACCUCACGCUAUCAGAUGAGCCUAGGUCGGAUUAGCUAGUUGGUGGGGUAAAGGCCUACCAAGGCGACGAUCCGUAACUGGUCUGAGAGGAUGAUCAGUCACACUGGAACUGAGACACGGUCCAGACUCCUACGGGAGGCAGCAGUGGGGAAUAUUGGACAAUGGGCGAAAGCCUGAUCCAGCCAUGCCGCGUGUGUGAAGAAGGUCUUCGGAUUGUAAAGCACUUUAAGUUGGGAGGAAGGGCAGUAAGUUAAUACCUUGCUGUUUUGAUGUUACCAACAGAAUAAGCACCGGCUAACUUCGUG
rnacentral:rRNA from 1 species